rnacentral:rRNA from 1 species
UACAGAGGUCCCAAGCGUUUGUUCGGAUUCACUGGGCGUAAAGCGUGCGCAGGCGGUUUUGUAAGUCUGUCGUGAAAUCCCCGGGCUCAACCUGGGAAUUGCGAUGGAGACUGCAAGGCUAGAAUCUGGCAGAGGGGGGUAGAAUUCCACGUGUAGCAGUGAAAUGCGUAGAGAUGUGGAGGAACACCGAUGGCGAAGGCAGCCCCCUGGGUCAAGAUUGACGCUCAUGCACGAAAGCGUGGGGAGCAAACAGG